rnacentral:rRNA from 1 species
CAAUAGCGUAUAUUAACGUUGUUGCAGUUAAAAAGCUCGUAGUUGAAUUUCUGGAGGGAGCGUCGGCCCGUAUUUACGAGUGCGUGACGUCUCUGUCCAUCCUUGCGGGAAGGCACGGCAUUGAUUUGUUGUGUCGGAUCGCAUCAUUUACUGUGAAAAAAUUAGAGUGUUCAAAGCAGGCUUUCGCUUGAAUACAUUAGCAUGGAAUAAUAAGAUAGGACUUUGGUGCUAUUUUGUUGGUUGAGCCUAAAGUAAUGAUUAAUAGGGAUAGUUGGGGGCACCUGUAUUGCGUUGUCAGAGGUGAAAUUCUUGGAUUUACGCAAGACAAACAGCUGCGAAAGCGUCUGCCAAGGAUGUUUUCAUUAA